AAAAUCCGCUGUAACAAUUCUGAGGCGCGAUGGGGAAGGUCAUAUAGACCGAAGUACAUGAUUCCAUGCUUCCAAGAAAAGCAUCUAGAGAGAGAAGUAGUGCCCGUACCGCAAACCGACACAGGUAGAUGAGGAGAGAAUCCUAAGGCCGGCGGAAGAAUUGCAGUUAAGGAACUAGGCAAAUUGACCCCGUAAGUUCGCGAGAAGGGGUGCCUGCGAGAGCAGGCCGCAGAGAAUAGGCCCAAGCAACUGUUUAGCAAAAACACAGGUCUCUGCUAAAGCGCAAGCUGAUGUAUAGGGGCUGACGCCUGCCCGGUGCUGGAAGGUUAAGGGGAACACUUAGCGCAAGCGAAGGUGUGAACUUAAGCCCCAGUAAACGGCGGCCGUAACAAUAACGGUCCUAAGGUAGCGAAAUUCCUUGUCAGGUAAGUUCUGACCCGCACGAAUGGCGUAAUGACUUGGGCACUGUCUCAACUGCAAAUCCGGCGAAGUUGUAGUGCGAGUGAAGAUGCUCGCUACCCGCGAUUGGACGGAAAGACCCCGUAGAGCUUUACUGCAGCUUAGCAUUGAAUUCCGGUAUUGUCUGUACAGGAUAGGUGGGAGACUGGGAAACUAGGGCGUCAGCCUUAGUGGAGUCAACCUUGGGAUACCACCCUGACAGUACUGGGGUUCUAACAGGACGCCAUGAAUCUGGUGACUGGACAUUGUUAGGUGGGCAGUUUGACUGGGGCGGUCGCCUCCUAAAAAGUAACGGAGGCGCCCAAAGGUUCCCUCAGAACGGUCGGAAAUCGUUCGUAGAGUGCAAAGGCAGAAGGGAGCCUGACUGCGAGACCUACAAGUCGAGCAGGGACGAAAGUCGGGCUUAGUGAUCCGGUGGUACCUCGUGGGAGGGCCAUCGCUCAACGGAUAAAAGCUACCUCGGGGAUAACAGGCUGAUCUCCCCCAAGAGUCCACAUCGACGGGGAGGUUUGGCACCUCGAUGUCGGCUCGUCGCAUCCUGGGGCUGUAGUAGGUCCCAAGGGUUGGGCUGUUCGCCCAUUAAAGCGGCACGCGAGCUGGGUUCAGAACGUCGUGAGACAGUUCGGUCCCUAUCCGUCGCGGGCGUAGGAAAUUUGAGAGGAGCUGUCCUUAGUACGAGAGGACCGGGAUGGACUGACCUCUGGUGCACCAGUUGUUCCGCCAGGAGCACGGCUGGGUAGCUAAGUCGGGAAGGGAUAAACGCUGAAAGCAUCUAAGCGUGAAGCCUCCCUCAAGAUGAGAUUUCCCAUAGCAUAAGCUAGUAAGACCCCUUGAAGAACACAAGGUUGAUAGGUCAGAGGUGUAAGUGCGGUAACGUAUGUAGCUGACUGAUACUAAUAGGUCGAGGGCUUGACC
rnacentral:rRNA from 1 species